rnacentral:miRNA from 1 species
UGAGCGGCGAGCCGAGC